GCGUGUCCUCCUGAGCCAGGCACCUCAUAGAAUCUUCUUGCCUGUUCAGCAAGGCCUUCCAACCCUCCAUCCAUUUCUCCCUCAGGUCAGGACAGCAGGGUGACAGUGCCUGGAGAAGGCCCUGGCUCCCCUGAAAGCCCUCCCGGCCUGUCUCUGACCUGCACUGGAAGCGGGGGUCUCCGGGGUGGGUCUUCAGCACCUGCCACACCUCUGGGGGAGGCUCCAAGCCCAUCUGCUUGGCCCGACACCAGCGCUGCAGCCGUGUGAUCCCUGCCAGGGUGGGAAGAAGACUCUGGAGACUUGUGGGGGGUGGGGUAGAGUCUGAGCUGGAGAAUGUGUGUGUUGGGGGGAGACAGUUCCUGAGGGUCAGAGUCACGCAAGCGCUUGGGUGACUUCAGAGACGUGUGGGUGACUGGCUGGGAGAGGCGCCUCCGUGGGGCUGGGUGGGUUCUCACCGGUGCAGGGCCCGUACUGCCAGGCCAGGUCAAACUGCCUCAGCAGCUCCAGCUCCGCUUCCUCCUCGUCGCGGGGCUGGGGCUCCUCCCCUGCAAUGACAGCUGCUCUUCAGUACGAGGUUGGCUUCAGUCUCCUGCCCCUCACCUCCCAGCCUUCCUCACCACCGCUUUGCCUCUGCCACCCCGCAGCUAGACCUGGUGUCGGGAGGGGAGGACAGGCCACCUUUCCCUUUCCAUCGGCCCCUCCGCCCCUCUAGGGGCCUCCUCUAGGCCCCUCCGUGUCCACUCCUCCUGCCUCCCUCACACCUCAGAGACCUAGCUCGGGUGCCAGCUCCCCCUUGCUGUGCCCAGCGGGCCCCUCCCUCCUCUUCACAACCGGGUAGGAAUCAGUGAUGAGCCGCUUCCGGCCCAUGGCGGCCACCCAGGCAGGCAGAGAAGGAGGCAACUGCGGGGAAGAGGAGAGACCGGCCAGUGGGCGCGAGAAAGACAGCUGCUGAGAGAGACAGACGGGGCCAGGCCAGCGGCGGGCAGACAAGAUGACCCAGACAAACCGAGAGAGGAAGUCGCCGGGGUCCAGGGAGGGACGCCUCCCCCACCCCCAAAAGCACGCAAACAGGAAAGACUUCAGCCAAUGGCAGGCCGCCUAUGCGGGGCGGGGCCCUGGCGCUAGCCAAUGGCAAAUGUUCUUUUCAGCUUCGCUAAUCCCCGUGGCCAGUUUGUAACUCCCUAGAGUCCAGCUGGAGCCUUCACUCGGUCCUUUGGCCCGCCCCGCCUUGUGGGGGCAGGUCUGGAGGUCUGAAGAGAGUUUGGGCUAAUCCAGG
rnacentral:lncRNA from 1 species